AGGAUCAUUAACGAACUCUUGAGGGACGNGGGUGCUGCUGGCUUCUCUGGAAGUCAAUGUGCACACGGUCUUUCUUCUCGUUCAACCAAUCUACCCCUAUCUGUGCACCCCUCGUGAGCUGAGAACUCUCUCGGCUUAUGUCCUUUCCAUAAAACAUCCCACUAUAUCAGUGAAUGAGCAGCCGUCCGAGCUUCGUCUCGACGUUAACAGUAACACACAACUUUCAACAACGGAUCUCUUGGCUCUCGCAUCGAUGAAGAACGCAGCGAAAUGCGAUAAGUAAUGUGAAUUGCAGAAUUCAGUGAAUCAUCGAAUCUUUGAACGCACCUUGCGCCCCUUGGUACUCCGGGGGGCAUGCCUGUUUGAGUGUCAUCAGACCAUCAACCCGAGCGGCUUUCGAGCUCGUCGGAGUUUGGAGUUUGCGGCGUGCGGGGGAGGCUCUCGUGGGCCUCUCCGCUCCUCGCGGAAUGCAUCAGCGGAUGUCCACCUGCGGACUGACCUUGGCGUGAUAAACAUCUACGUCUCGGCUCAGGCAUGCGAUUCUUGGCUCUGCUUCGAACCGGUCGCACCUUGCUGUGCGACGAACCAUUGACAACUUUGACCUCAAAUCAGGAAGGAUUACCCGCUGAACU
rnacentral:rRNA from 1 species